AGUGAACGCUGGCGGUAGGCCUAACACAUGCAAGUCGAACGGCAGCACAGUAAGAGCUUGCUCUUACGGGUGGCGAGUGGCGGACGGGUGAGGGAUACAUCGGAAUCUACUCUUUCGUGGGGGAUAACGUAGGGAAACUUACGCUAAUACCGCAUACGACCUACGGGUGAAAGCAGGGGAUCUUCGGACCUUGCGCGAUUGAAUGAGCCGAUGUCGGAUUAGCUAGUUGGCGGGGUAAAGGCCCACCAAGGCGACGAUCCGUAGCUGGUCUGAGAGGAUGAUCGGCCACACUGGAACUGAGACACGGUCCAGACUCCUACGGGAGGCAGCAGUGGGGAAUAUUGGACAAUGGGCGCAAGCCUGAUCCAGCCAUACCGCGUGGGUGAAGAAGGCCUUCGGGUUGUAAAGCCCUUUUGUUGGGAAAGAAAAGCAGCAGGUUAAUACCCCGCUGUUCUGACGGUACCCAAAGAAUAAGCACCGGCUAACUUCGUG
rnacentral:rRNA from 1 species